CCUACGGGAGGCAGCAGUGGGGAAUUUUCCGCAAUGGGCGAAAGCCUGACGGAGCAACGCCGCGUGAGGGAUGAAGGCCUCUGGGCUGUAAACCUCUUUUAUCAAGGAAGAAGAUCUGACGGUACUUGAUGAAUAAGCCACGGCUAAUUCCGUGCCAGCAGCCGCGGUAAUACGGGAGUGGCAAGCGUUAUCCGGAAUUAUUGGGCGUAAAGCGUCCGCAGGCGGUCUUGUAAGUCUGUCGUUAAAGCGUGGAGCUCAACUCCAUUUCGGCGGUGGAAACUACAAGACUAGAGUGUGGUAGGGGCAGAGGGAAUUCCCGGUGUAGCGGUGAAAUGCGUAGAUAUCGGGAAGAACACCAGUGGCGAAGGCGCUCUGCUGGGCCAUAACUGACGCUCAUGGACGAAAGCUAGGGGAGCGAAAGGGAUUAGAUACCCUGUAGUCCUAGCCGUAAACGAUGAACACUAGGUGUCGGGGAAUCGACCCCUCGGUGUCGUAGCUAACGCGUUAAGUGUUCCGCCUGGGGAGUACGCACGCAAGUGUGAAACUCAAAUGAAUUGACGG
rnacentral:rRNA from 1 species